rnacentral:rRNA from 1 species
GUCGUAACAAGGUUCCCGUAGGUGAACCUGCGGAAGGAUCAUUACCUAGAGUUUGUAGACUUCGGUCUGCUACCUCUUACCCAUGUCUUUUGAGUACCUUCGUUUCCUCGGCGGGUCCGCCCGCCGAUUGGACAACAUUCAAACCCUUUGCAGUUGCAAUCAGCGUCUGAAAAAACAUAAUAGUUACAACUUUCAACAACGGAUCUCUUGGUUCUGGCAUCGAUGAAGAACGCAGCGAAAUGCGAUAAGUAGUGUGAAUUGCAGAAUUCAGUGAAUCAUCGAAUCUUUGAACGCACAUUGCGCCCCUUGGUAUUCCAUGGGGCAUGCCUGUUCGAGCGUCAUUUGUACCUUCAAGCUCUGCUUGGUGUUGGGUGUUUGUCUCGCCUCUGCGUGUAGACUCGCCUUAAAACAAUUGGCAGCCGGCGUAUUGAUUUCGGAGCGCAGUACAUCUCGCGCUUUGCACUCAUAACGACGACGUCCAAAAGUACAUUUUUACACUCUUGACCUCGGAUCAGGUAGGGAUACCCGCUGAACUUAAGCA